GACAGAGGGUGCAAACGUUGUUCGGAAUUACUGGGCGUAAAGCGCGUGUAGGCGGCCAUCUAAGUCGGGCGUGAAAUCCCACGGCUCAAUCGUGGAAGUGCACUCGAAACUGGAUGGCUAGAGUCCUGGAGAGGAAGGUGGAAUGCUUGGUGUAGAGGUGAAAUUCGUAGAUAUCAAGCGGAACACCGGUGGCGAAGGCGGCCUUCUGGACAGUGACUGACGCUGAGACGCGAAAGCGUGGGGAGCAAACAGG
rnacentral:rRNA from 1 species